AUUGAAUGAAAAUCCCUUAAGAAUUGCACUUGUUUUCAUUUGCAUUUUUCUGUUCCCAGAACCUAGAAUGGUGUCUGGUACACAGUCAGUAUAUAAUAAAUGCUUUCUGGUUGAUUGAUUGAUUGGUUGGUAGAAUGGUUUCAGCCUUUUCCUCUCGGAGAACAUUAGGUGGCAAACAGGACUUCAUGGUUUCCUUGGAAGUUGAAUAAAUACCACACCCCCAGCAGGCUCCUGGAUAUAGUUUUUGAAAGCUGCAGAUGCAGAAACAAGAGGUGAAAUGGUGACAAGUAAUGAAUAGCAAUGAGCUUCAGCUGCAAAUGUAUUAUUGUGCUUCUGACAUCAUGAGGUGGUUUGGGUGCCAAUUAUUUGUCUCUUUGGAGCAUUGCCCUCUAAUUCGAUCUUGCUUAUUGGGUUUUGUGAUGAAAGGCUUUUAUUGAUCAUCUCUGGGCACUACAAAGAUCCAAUAGGAGAAGAGCCAAGGAAGCCUCUGUCUUCGGAGCACUGGAUCUAUUCUUGUCCUGGUCCCAACUCAUGUGGAGUCUUGGUCAUUCUACUUUCAGGCAUUCCUAUUGGAGGGAUCCUUUCAUCAAUGGAGAAUGGGCAUCCAAGACCAGGUAGCAAGCCUGUGAGCUUCAGAAGGUGAGGAAAGCCACCAAAAUUCCAGCACCUGGAGUCCAUAGCAAAGCUUACUACAGAAGCUAUCAUCAAUGAGGAAUCAGUCAUGCAGAAGGAUCUGCUGGAAAUAAACCAGGGGCAGAUCAAUGCAUGGAAAAGACAAGGGAGUGAUUCAUCCAUCAGCUAAUGCAAUACACAGAAGGGAUCUUGAUGGGUUGAAUGGUUGGUAUUAACCACUUUAAUUUUUAGUCUCAUCUUCUCAAGGAACCAAUGUGGUAGAGUAUAGUGGUCUGCUAACAAUAAAAAUAUUAAUAAUAAUAAUAAUAAGGUACUUGUUCAGCAAGAUUCCAUAUCUGGUUGGAACCAGGAAAAUAAUAUUCAAUGCUCUAAGCACUGAAACUCCAUUGGCUAUUCCCCUAUUAUAUUUGUAUUUUGAAAUGAUGCUUAUGGAGAUUUAAGUUCAUCAUAAGAAAAGAAUAAGAAUAUUUCAAAAAGAAAAUUCAGUUAUAUAGAACAGUCCAUUUCUCAUUGUUUUCUUGAAAAAUGUCACUGAAUUAGCUAGUUUGGAAGGAAGGAAGACUGUUUGUAAAGAGCACUAUAUAGACCACAGAAGUAUGGCUUAGGAGAUGGCAUUUGUUAAUUUUUUUCUUUUAAUUUUAUUAUUAAAUAGCCUUCCUAGACAUGGUGAUAUUUUACUCCCAGCUCUAAUUUCCUGUGAUUCUUUUAAGAUGAUGAGUUAACAUGGAUGUUUCUAUGCUUUUUGUCUAAUCAAUGACAUAAUUCAGUUCCAUUUUAAUUAUUAUAAUAGUCUCAUAUUUACAUAACA